AAAGAGGGAUGAAACACGCUGUUGUGUUUGGGGAACUACUAGUGGCUCAACAAAGCUGGAAGUGGAUGCUGCAGCAAGAAUUGGAGCUGGACAGAUAAAGAAACAGAAACUCAAAGAAGUAACCAGGUCUGUAAACCCCGCACUUUGAGAGGCUGAGGCAGAAGGGAUUGUUUGAAGCCAGGAGAUUGAGACCAGCCUGCACAAUAUAAGGAGACCUUGUCUCUGCAAAAAAUUUAAAAAACAAAAGAAACUCAAAGAGGCCUCUCCUUCCUGACUCAGCCUUGGUUUACCACUGAGAUUUGCCAUAUACCAUACAGAAGAACAAAAACGUUACCAAUUAUUGGCAGGUUUUUUUUGUUUUUUUGUUUUUUUUUUAACCAAACGUCAAGUUGGUGAUGAAGUUAUCUGGAAAUGUCAACCAAACCCAGAAGACUACACAAGACUACAGGAGAAGGCACUCUGGGUAACAGAUUCAAGUUUUCGCAUCAGUUUGUUCGAUGAAGGAUCACAACAUAGACAGUACGGCUUUCUUGCUUCCUCUUCGGAGGUUCCUUGUCUCCCACCUCCAGGACAGACAGGAGUCCUUGACAUCGUGGGAGAGGCAUUGUGGCAAUACUGCAUAGAAGGGAAACUGGGCUUCGGGCUGCGCCUCCUGAGAGUGGAUUGUCUGAGGUGCCAGCAGGACGUCCGUCAGAUUUCAGGUGGAGGAGAGAGAAAACGGCUUGUGACCUUGCAGGUUUCAAAAGAAGAGCAAACAAGAAGGGCAGAUAAGGAGACGCCAGUGAGAUUCUAUGGCCUGUCAUUAGGGAUGGGCUUCCCAGCUAUCAAAUGUUUGCUCACAUAAUAAAAUGGUGGCAGAGCCCAAAAUGUUGUCAAAAGAACUAGAGUUAUUUGCCUCCUUCAGAGUCUAAACACAAACAUCUGAUAAGGGGUGCACUGUGGUCCCUUAGAACUGGAGGCCCAGCACACGCAGCCCCACGGGGGCCUGGCCCAGAAGAUCUCUGAGAGACCGCGGGGCCCU
rnacentral:lncRNA from 10 species